CCUACGGGUGGCAGCAGUGGGGAAUAUUGCACAAUGGGGGAAACCCUGAUGCAGCGACGCCGCGUGAAGGAAGAAGGUUUUCGGAUCGUAAACUUCUAUCAGCAGGGAAGAAGAAAGUGACAGUACCUGACUAAGAAGCCCCGGCUAACUACGUGCCAGCAGCCGCGGUAAUACGUAGGGGGCUAGCGUUAUCCGGAAUUACUGGGCGUAAAGGGUGCGUAGGCGGCCCUUCAAGUCAGAGGUGAAAGGCUACGGCUCAACCGUAGUAAGCCUUUGAAACUGUAGGGCUUGAGUGCAGGAGAGGAGAGUGGAAUUCCCAGUGUAGCGGUGAAAUGCGUAGAUAUUGGGAGGAACACCAGUUGCGAAGGCGGCUCUCUGGACUGUAACUGACGCUGAGGCACGAAAGCGUGGGGAGCGAACAGGAUUAGAUACCCUAGUAGUC
rnacentral:rRNA from 1 species